UUCUAUUGGAAGUGGAGGUGGACAAAAAGCAAUCGCUUUAAAUAAAGACAUUGAAUAUGCUGGAUCAGAUUCUCUGCUAUCUGAAGAGACUAAAAAAUUGUAUCCGGAUAUGAUUGAAUUUCCGACCAUAGCAGGGUAUACAUAUAUGAGAUGAAUUUGGCUGAUAUGCAGGAGAGCAAACAAAAAAUGAAAAACAAUUUAUUUGUUCGAGUACUAAACAUUAACUGUUGUAGGAUAAUCAGAAAAUACUUAUUUCUGAAAGAGUUUUCCAGGUACCAUACAAGGAUUCAUUUUUGUAUUGUGAGACGAUGACGUAAUCGUCAAAGACUUAUUCAACAAAGUGAAUAAUAGAGAUUCUUUUAAAUCGAUCUCUUCAACAGCCUUGUAAAAAGUCGCUUAAAACCAAUAGGAUAGAACUCGCUUAGCGACUAUAGUAACAGUCGGAGAGUCACAACAAUCUUCUAUAGAUCCUACAUUAAAAAAAUGAUAAGUACGAUGGCGCAAAUACCAGAUUUAUUAUCGUUAAAAUGCAAUUUCAAAAUUGAAAAUUUUUAUUAUAUUCAUUAACUGCAUUAUAAAACCACGUAAACAAGCAGAAUUUAAAGUUAUAGUCAGGAGUAUUUUUUACAAGCUGAAA